rnacentral:misc_RNA from 1 species
UAAAGGGGAGCUGAAUCAUCAUCCAUUUUGAAGCUAACUUGUUGGUAUUCGCUAUUGGAUUAGCACUGAUUUCUUGACAUAUUUGUGGAUCGAUUCCGACCUAAUUUUCAGAAAAAUGGGUGGUUGUGCUGCACCAAAUUGUUCGAAUCAGUCUAAAAAUAACUUUAGGAUGUUUCGUUUCCCUAGAAAUGAAGAAAGACGAAGAAAAUGGAUAGUUAAUUCUCGUCGAGAUCAAUGGAUCCCGGGCCCAGGAGCGUAUCUUUGUGAGGUACAUUUUGAAGAAAAUCAAUUUGAAUGCUCUAGGCAAGAUGGGCGUAAAAAACUCAAGCCCAAUGCUGUGCCAACUCUUUUCAAUGUGCCUAAUCCCCCACAACUGUUGACCCCACAGCGUCUAAAAGGCAUUGGUUUACCAAAGCACCGUUCAGUUACAUCCAAUUUUUGUAAUGGUGGCUUGCUGCACGGUUUACCUUUAUCAACUGAAGCGAUUUCUGUUGCUGAACCAUCUGUUGUUCAUUUGCCACAACCUUCAGCUUCAUAUUUUGGAGAAAUAAAUUUUGCUGCCGAAGUAUCUGAUGUAAAUUGCCAUUUUGCACUUCUAAAAAAUUUUAAUAGUUUUUUAACAUCUAUUCGUAAACUGUACUAUGUUUUUUUAAAUGUUUCCAUCUUCAUAAUCAUGCACUUUAUUUCAUUUCACCAGUGGUUGCAAAUGUGUACAUUACAGUACAUCUCAGGUUUGUUUGCAAGAACAAGCUUCAACUUCAUCUUGUGAUAAAAUGCCAUCUAUUUGUGAAGGAUCUCAUGUUUGUUUGCAAGAACAGCCUUUAGCCUCAUUUUGCAAUGAAAUACCAUCUAUUUGUGAAGGCUCUGAUGAUGUUCUUUUAAGGAAUUUUAUAAAACAGCAGACUGAAUUGAUCUCGCUUCUGCAAUGCCAGAACAAAAUA